rnacentral:rRNA from 1 species
ACGGGAGGCAGCAGUGGGGAAUAUUGCACAAUGGGCGAAAGCCUGAUGCAGCGACGCCGCGUGAGUGAAGAAGUAUUUCGGUAUGUAAAGCUCUAUCAGCAGGGAAGAAAAAUGACGGUACCUGACUAAGAAGCACCGGCUAAAUACGUGCCAGCAGCCGCGGUAAUACGUAUGGUGCAAGCGUUAUCCGGAUUUACUGGGUGUAAAGGGAGCGCAGGCGGUACGGCAAGUCUGAUGUGAAAGCCCGGGGCUCAACCCCGGUACUGCAUUGGAAACUGUCGAACUAGAGUGUCGGAGGGGUAAGCGGAAUUCCUAGUGUAGCGGUGAAAUGCGUAGAUAUUAGGAGGAACACCAGUGGCGAAGGCGGCUUACUGGACUGUAACUGACGUUGAGGCUCGAAAGCGUGGGGAGCAAACAGGAUUAGAUACCCUGGUA